rnacentral:rRNA from 1 species
AAUAUUGGACAAUGGGGGCAACCCUGAUCCAGCCAUCCCGCGUGUGCGAUGAAGGCCUUCGGGUUGUAAAGCACUUUUGGCCGGGAAGAAAAGGCUCUGGCUAAUACCUGGAGCUGCUGACGGUACCUGCAGAAUAAGCACCGGCUAACUACGUGCCAGCAGCCGCGGUAAUACGUAGGGUGCAAGCGUUAACCGGAAUUACUGGGCGUAAAGCGUGUGCAGGCGGUUCGGCAAGAAGGAUGUGAAAGCCCAGGGCUUAACCUUGGAACUGCAUUCUUAACUGUCGGACUAGAGUAUGUCAGAGGAGAGUAGAAUUCCGCGUGUAGCAGUGAAAUGCGUAGAGAUGAGGAAGAAUACCGAUGGCGAAGGCAGCCCCCUGGGAUAAUACUGACGCUGAUGCACGAAAGCGUGGGGAGCAAAC